CAGCGCCACGAGUGGCAAUCGCGUUUAUUGGGCCUAAAGCGUCCGUAGCAGGUUUUAUAAAUCUCUUGUGAAAUUGCCAAGCUUAACUUGGCAGUAUGCAGGAGACACUGUAAGACUUGAGACCGGGAAGGGUUAGAGGUAUUCCUGAGGGAGCGGUAAAAUGCUAUAAUCUCAGGAGGACCACCUGUGGCGAAGGCGUCUAACUAGAACGGAUCUGACUGUGAGGGACGAAAGCCAGGGGAGCAAACCGGAUUAGAUACCCGAGUAGUCC
rnacentral:rRNA from 1 species